rnacentral:misc_RNA from 1 species
UUGAUGACCGCAUCCCGAUCUCGAACAUGCUAGUCAUUAUUUACUGUGCUCCGAACCAGGCCUCCAGCUAACAAAUGCAGGUUUUCACUUAGAUGAAAGCUAGCGAUUCUGUACAGGUUUUGUUAUAUUUAUUUCAAUUUAGUGUUUAAUUUGUAUGUAAUAUAUAAUUUCUAUUCUAUUCUAUUGUAUUAGUUUUAAGUCAAAAUUAAGCGUCACUUAGUUCCAACUACGACCAUCUGGGAAAUAUAGUUAGUUGUUAUACUGUUUUUUUGAAUGUUUUUCAGUUAUAUGCUGUUACUUGGUAGUUGCAAUUUUUAUGUUGUUGAGUAACGUAUCUCUCUGGCAUUUGGAUAUUAUUUUGAGUAUUUGGCUGCGGUUUUUUGGUAUGUUUGAAGUGUUUGAAUUGAGUGUGAUCUCGUUUUGUCGGAGGGCGAUAGCUAGCGGCUCGGUUCCUCGGAUCGCCAACUCUCCCAGAAUCAAUAGCUUCCUCGUUAUUAUCUACGCCGUAAAUCUCCGUCGGACUCUUUCAUUAAAAGCUGUCAAAGUCGAAACAGAGGGCGAGGGAGAGCGAGUAGUGACGUCACGCCGGUUACAAGAUCAGUGGGACGGCCUGUAGACGUUGUCAAUACCGGGGUCCAUGGAUUCCUCGGAUGGGCGGCGGACGCAUGCGCCACGUCUACGCUUCUCCCUCCGGCUACAACUGUAUUCCGUGCUGUAGAGGAGGAGCCGCCGAGCCGGUCCGGCCUCGCCGCGCCGCACUCACCGCACGCCACUCGCCACUCGCCGCGCGCCUCCUCCGCUCCAGACACUCGCGUACGACGCUCACCGCCCGCCCUCCGACAAACCAACGCACAAGUUAUUUUACUGAGCCUUCGUCUUGAAGUCCUUCUACAUCCUAAAGAGGGGAACACACCCGAUGCAAUGCUAUGCGACGCUACCCGAUGCUACCCGACGCCAUGUUACGUUUUGGUAGGU